CAGCAGCCGCGGGAAUACGUAGGUGGCAAGCGUUGUCCGGAAUUAUUGGGCGUAAAGCGCGCGCAGGUGGUUUAAUAAGUCUGAUGUGAAAGCCCACGGCUCAACCGUGGAGGGUCAUUGGAAACUGUUAAACUUGAGUGCAGGAGAGAAAAGUGGAAUUCCUAGUGUAGCGGUGAAAUGCGUAGAGAUUAGGAGGAACACCAGUGGCGAAGGCGGCUUUUUGGCCUGUAACUGACACUGAGGCGCGAAAGCGUGGGGAGCAAACAGGAUUAGAUACCCCAGUAGUCCCUGUCUCUUAUAC
rnacentral:rRNA from 1 species